rnacentral:rRNA from 1 species
AUUGUACGCUGGCGGCAUGCUUUACACAUGCAAGUCGAACGGUAACAGGGUGCUUGCACCGCUGACGAGUGGCGAACGGGUGAGUAAUGCGUCGGAACGCACCGAGUAAUGGGGGAUAACGCAGCGAAAGCUGUGCUAAUACCGCAUACGCUCUGAGGAGGAAAGCGGGGGACCUUCGGGCCUCGCGUUAUUCGAGCGGCCGACGUCUGAUUAGCUAGUAGGUGAGGUAAGAGCUCACCUAGGCGACGAUCAGUAGCGGGUCUGAGAGGAUGAGCCGCCACACUGGGACUGAGACACGGCCCAGACUCCUACGGGAGGCAGCAGUGGGGAAUUUUGGACAAUGGGCGCAAGCCUGAUCCAGCCAUGCCGCGUGUCUGAAGAAGGCCUUCGGGUUGUAAAGGACUUUUGUCAGGGAGGAAAUCCUUAGCGCUAAUACCGUUGAGGGAUGACAGUACCUGAAGAAUAAGCACCGGCUAACUACGUGCCAGCCGCCGCCGUAAGAC